UGCGUAGGCGGAAUAUUAAGUCAGUGGUGAAAUCCUGUGGCUCAACCGUAGAACUGCCAUUGAUACUGAUAUUCUUGAAUGUAGUUGAGGUAGGCGGAAUGUGUAAUGUAGCGGUGAAAUGCUUAGAUAUUACACAGAACACCGAUUGCGAAGGCAGCUUACUAAACUAUGAUUGACGCUGAGGCACGAAAGCGUGGGGAGCGAACAGGAUUAGAUACCCUGGUAGUCC
rnacentral:rRNA from 1 species